UCCUACGGGAGGCAGCAGUAAGGAAUAUUGGACAAUGCCCGCAAGGGUGAUCCAGCCAUGCCGCGUGCAGGAAGACGGCCCUAUGGGUUGUAAACUGCUUUUACACCGGAGAAAACCCCGCUACGUGUAGUGGGCUGAUAGCAUGGUGAGAAUAAGCAUCGGCUAACUUCGUGCCAGCAGCCGCGGUAA
rnacentral:rRNA from 1 species